UUGAAUUUUAUUUUGUGUUUAAAAGUUUUAUUCUUACUUAAAUAUAUACUUUUUUCUUUGAUUUAUAUGUAAGUUAUGUUAGACUAUAUAUAUUCUGUUUGCAGUAAUUUGAUUUAAUUAAUCAAGUGAUUUUGGAUUUAGCAAUUGAUUUAGUAUUGGCAUAAUUCGUGCUAGCAGCCGCGGUUAUACGAUUAAUACAAGUAAAUAUUAUUGGUUAAUACAGUUAAUUAUAUUUUGAGAUAAAUUAAAAAUUUUGAUGGUGAAAUUUAAAUUUUUUUUAUAUUUCUUGUAAUGAUUCUGUUGAAACUUAAAUAAUAAACUAGGAUUAGAUACCCUAUUAUUUUAAGUGUUAAUUAUACUUACCAGGGUAGUAAUAGUUAAGAUCUUUAAGCCCAAAGAAUUUGGCGGUAUCUCAUUCCAUUCAGAGGAACCUAUCCCGUAAUUGAUAAUACACGAUUAACUUUACUUAAUUUAUUUGUUUGUAUAUCUCCGUUAUCAGAAAAUCUUUUUAGAGUUAUAAUUUUCUUGAUUUAUAAUUAUAAAAUAUUUCAGGUCAAGGUGCAGCUAAUAAUUAAGAGGAGAUGGGUUAAAAUAGAUUUUUGUUUAUAACGGAUUUGGUAGUGGAAUACUAUUAAUAAAGGUGGAUUUGAUAGUAAUUUAACAUAUUUAUUUUAAUUGAUAUUGGCUCUGAGGUGUGUACACAUCGCCCGUCGCUCUCAUUAUUAAUAUUUAUCUAUUUAUUUAUAAGAUAAAAUUUAAGUUAGAUGAGAUAAGGCGUAACAUAGUAGAUGUACUGGAAAGUGUAUCUAGAAAGAAAUA
rnacentral:ncRNA from 1 species